rnacentral:rRNA from 1 species
UCCAGACUCCUACGGGAGGCAGCAGUGGGGAAUAUUGCACAAUGGGGGGAACCCUGAUGCAGCGACGCCGCGUGAGGGAAGAAGGUUUUUGGAUUGUAAACCUCUGUCCUUGGUAAAGAAGCAAGACGGUAGCCAAGGAGGAAGCCACGGCUAACUACGUGCCAGCAGCCGCGGUAAUACGUAGGUGGCAAGCGUUGUCCGGAAUUACUGGGUGUAAAGGGAGCGUAGACGGAAAGGCAAGUCAGAAGUGAAAGCCCAAGGCUCAACCAUGGGACUGCUUUUGAAACUGUCAAACUAGAGUACGGGAGAGGUAAGAGGAAUUCCUAGUGUAGCGGUGAAAUGCGUAGAUAUUAGGAGGAACACCAGUGGCGAAGGCGUCUUACUGGACCGAAACUGACGUUGAGGCUCGAAAGCGUGGGGAGCAAACAGGAUUAGAUACCCUCGUACG